rnacentral:lncRNA from 1 species
CUUUCACCAUCUUUGUGUCUUCAGACGGGGUUUCAUGAAUCGCACUCCGACAAAAAUAACAACCCAUCUCAAGCCAAUCAAGCCCUGUGGAGAAGACGAACUCUGAAUAGACGAAGGUCUACCCCAACCCCCCCACCAAAAUAUGCCCUGACGGACCAGAAAACCUGUGCCACUGCUACCAAGAAGUAAAACGCAAAAACGCAGCACAAGCCACCAUGUAACGACGGUGUGAGUCUUGGUGAAUCAAAUACUACAGGCAGAAGUACUACAGCCAGAAAUACUACAGGCAGAAAUACUACAGGCAGAAAUACUACAGGCAGAAAUACUACAGGCAGAAGUACUACAGGCAGAAACACUACAGGCAGAAAUACUACAGGCAGAAGUACUACAGGCAGAAAUACUACAGGCAGAAAUACUACAUGUAGAAAUACUACAGGCAGAAAUACUACAGGCAGAAGUACUACAGGCAGAAGUACUACAGGCAGAAAUACUACAGGCAGAAGUACUACAGGCAGAAGUACUACAGGCAGAAAUACUACAGGCAGAAAUACUACAGGCAGAAAUAUUACAGGCAGAAGUACUACAGGCAGAAGUACUACAGGCAGAAAUACUACAGGCAGAAAUACUACAGGCAGAAAUACUACAGGCAGAAGUACUACAGGCAGAAGUACUACAGGCAGAAAUACUACAGGCAGAAAUACUACAGGCAGAAGUACUACAGGCAGAAGUACUACAGGCAGAAAUACUACAGGCAGAAGUACUACAGGCAGAAAUACUACAGGCAAUGUCAACCUGCCUGAAAUGUGCAACAGACUGCAAGGGUGCAGCGGAAGGUUCACUGAGCAGCGGGAAUGAAGGGAUGAAAGACGUCAUAAAUAGUUAAAAGCAUCAAAGCCUUUUUUUGGUUCAUUGUAUAUCUAAGGUCUUUACUGAAGCCUGUGUCAGAA